rnacentral:rRNA from 1 species
AUGCAAGUCGAACGGAAAGGCCCUGCUUGUAGGGUACUCGAGUGGCGAACGGGUGAGUAACACGUGGGGUGAUCUGCCCUGCACUUCGGGAUAAGCCUGGGAAACUGGGGUCUAAUACCGGAUAGGAGCCAUUUUUAGUGUGAUGGUUGGAGAGUUUUUUCGGUGUAGGGAUGAGCUCGCGGCCUAUCAGCUUGUUGGUGGGGUAAUGGCCUACCAAGGCGGCGACGGGGUAGCCGGCCUGAGAGGGUGGACGGCCACAUUGGGACUGAGAUACGGCCCCAGACUCC